GACGAACGCUGGCGGCGUGCCUAAUACAUGCAAGUUGAGCGAUGAAGAUUGGUGCUUGCACCAAUUUGAAGAGCAGCGAACGGGUGAGUAACGCGUGGGGAAUCUGCCUUUGAGCGGGGGACAACAUUUGGAAACGAAUGCUAAUACCGCAUAACAACUUUAAACAUAAGUUUUAAGUUUGAAAGAUGCAAUUGCAUCACUCAAAGAUGAUCCCGCGUUGUAUUAGCUAGUUGGUGAGGUAAAGGCUCACCAAGGCGAUGAUACAUAGCCGACCUGAGAGGGUGAUCGGCCAAAUUGGGACUGAGACACGGCCCAAACUCCUACGGGAGGCAGCAGUAGGGAAUCUUCGGCAAUGGACGAAAGUCUGACCGAGCAACGCCGCGUGAGUGAAGAAGGGUUUCGGAUCGUAAAACUCUGUUGGUAGAGAAGAACGUUGGUGAGAGUGGAAAGCUCAUCAAGUGACGGUAACUACCCAGAAAGGGACGGCUAACUACGUG
rnacentral:rRNA from 1 species